AGGGAUAUAACUCAGUGGUAGAGUUUCACCUGAACGUGGUUAUGGUCAUCGGUUCGACGAUGAGUAGGCUCU
rnacentral:tRNA from 1 species